AACGUAGGAGACAAACGUUAUCCGGAGUUACUGGGCGUAAAGGGCGUGUAGGUGGUUUUGUAAGUCUGGCGUGAAAUUUUUCGGCUUAACCGGGAAAGGUCGUCGGAUACUGCAAGGCUAGAGGACGGUAGAGGCGUGUGGAAUUCCGGGUGUAGUGGUGAAAUGCGUAGAGAUCGGGAGGAACACCCGUGGCGAAGGCGGCCUGCUGGGCCGAUCCGUGACGCUGAGGCACGAAAGCGUGGGUAGCAAACAGG
rnacentral:rRNA from 1 species